rnacentral:rRNA from 1 species
CCUACGGGAGGCAGCAGUGGGGGAUAUUGCACAAUGGGGGAAACCCUGAUGCAGCGACGCCGCGUGUGGGAAGACGGUCCUCUGGAUUGUAAACCACUGUCCCCAGGGACGAAGAUGACGGUACCUGGGGAGGAAGCUCCGGCUAACUACGUGCCAGCAGCCGCGGUAAUACGUAGGGAGCGAGCGUUGUCCGGAAUUACUGGGUGAAAAGGGAGCGUAGGCGGGACUGCAAGUUGGGUGUCAAAUCUACCGGCUCAACCGGUAGCCGCACUGAAAACUGCAGUUCUUGAGUGAAGUAGAGGCAGGCGGAAUUCCUAGUGUAGCGGUGAAAUGCGUAGAUAUUAGGAGGAACACCAGUGGCGAAGGCGGCCUGCUGGGCUUUUACUGACGCUGAGGCUCGAAAGUGUGGGGAGCAAACAGGAUUAGAUACCCGGGUAGUC